CAUCCUCUGUUACAUAUGCAACACAGCUCUGGGGGGUGGGGGUGGUACUGGUUAGUUCAUAGUGUUGUUCCUCCUAUUAGUCUUGCUUUUUUGUAAACAGGCUUGGCCAUUCUACCAACUACCUGUAGCUGAUGUGACAAUGGUUCAAGGCAAGGCAGCCAAGCAAAUCCUACCGGCGUGCGCCACCACUACCGGCAGCGAACGGGCGCUGCUACGCCCUACUUGAACCGUACCAACGAUGACGACACAACACCCGACACGCCCCCAUACUCCUACCUGAACACUGCCCACACACCACCAGCGCAGCCUCACCUCACACCCACCGCACGCCCGCACACACAACCACAACACCAACAGCUACGCUCCCUAAUACGCCCGCCCAACACUCUUCACUCCCUCCCUUCCUCCCUCCCUCCCUCCCGCCUGCCUCACACCGGACUCCCGUGCCACGGCGACACCUGCCGGUCGCGCCGGGAACCGACACUCGCCGCCGACCCGGAACCCGGAACCCGGAACCCGAACCCCAACGUGCCGACGACUCUUGCCGCCUGAUCGCCCACCAGCGACCAGCGAUCAGCGACGAGCGACGAGCGACGAGCACCGGCUCCUAGCUGGUCCUCCUCCUCCUCCUCCUCCUGCUCCAGUCGUGUCGCCCUCCAGGCCCCCCACCUUCCACACAACUCUCUCGGCAAACGCUCACAAGAAGCACCCGCACCACCCCGCACCGCAAGGCAGAAAGACGCCUUGCUCGGCCACCUUGGCCUUUCCUCGCUGGCGAGCGAGCGAGCAAGACCAAAACCGCAAACUCCGAACGCCUGCUGGCCCUUCGUCUACACCCGCGCUCCGCCCUCCCGGACCUCGAGGCCUCGCUGACAGUUCUCCACUCCUCAAGCGAGCCCGGAGGCUCAGCGGGAGCACCCCGUGCUCCAACCUGGUGCUCCUCCAACACCCACAGCUCUGCUUUUCUUUCUUCCCUUUCUGGAAGGCCUGGGCCUUGGGCCACGAGACCACCCUGACCACAGCCAAGUCUCCGGGGCCAGGAGCCAGGCCCUCCACUUGGACCCACACAGUUCCCCACACUCGGGACCCCACGCCCACGCGGACUGGGACUGCCCGUGUUAGCCUCGCAGGAAGAACUGCAGUGGGCAAGUGAGCCUCCUGGAAUCGCCCCAGCGGUCCACCGGCCCAGCCUUGUGCUCAGCUCUGCUGGGUGUAUCCUGGAAAAACGGAGAGGGGGGGGGCCCAGGACCUUUGGCCCAGCAUGGCUUCUUACUCCUGAGGGGUCUGCCUUCUCCUGCCUCUCUUUGCUAGAUCCCUCAUGGCCCUGGCUUGAUGGCAUUGGGCAAGGCAAGACACUCACUGCCUGCAACCUCCUGUGAUUGCCCUCCUGGGUGAUGCCCCCACCCCACCCCACCCCUGCUCUGAUGGGCCAGAGGCUUGCGGAUCGACCUGAGGAGGAAUCCUCUUGAGAUAAUCCUGUUGAGAUGAAUUCAUGAUCAGAUGCAAUUCCUGAUUUGGUCUAAGUCCUUUCGGGAAAUGAGUUGGAUUUAAAUCAUGGGGGGUGGGGGUUUGGGGAGACUGAGGGUAGUCGACAGAAAGUCUACUUCGGGAUCAAGACUAGAAUGUUCCCCUUCCUCAUAGAACAGCAAGAGAGCUGCAUCGUUGAGAGAAGGAGCACAUGAGCUUCCGUGCCUUCCAAGCAUGUACUCGUAGGAGCAAGAAAAUUAGGCCUGGGACAAGUUCAUGCUCACAGAGAGCAUCCAUUCAACGUUGGGCCUGACUUCCUGGAUCUUGUGAUCUAAGCCUGUGGCCAUAAGUGCUCGGUGUGCACCUCGAAGAGACACACGGCUAGGAAUAAACAGCAAAUCGCUCUAUUACGAGUGUCAGAAUAGAGGGUAGGCGAUUGCCCAGAUUACCUGAACAACAAGACUUCAAAACGAAACAAAACUAAACAAAACAAAACGGAACGAAUCGAAACGAAACGAAACGAAACGAAAGGUGCACAACAGAUGAUGAUCGGUCUCCCGCUAAAUACAAAGUGUCACCAGUCAAGCACAGAAAAAACACUUGCUAACCUAGGCUCCAUUGCCUUAAACUUUGUUCAUCAGUUAAGACAAGAGUUAAGUCCAUCUAGUGGAGAGAAAGAAGGAUGGGAAAAGUUUCUUAGGCGUGAAUGUCAAAACAAAAUUAUGUCAUCAAGGCUCCUGGUGUAGUUUCCUUUUGUGGGAUGAUUUUAAUCUGGUUUUGGAAGAAUAUGUUUCUGGGGUGAUGGCUUUUAGAGAAUAUGUGACCUGUGGCUACCAGGUAAUCUUCUUACACACAGAGAGUGCUGUCUUGGGUGGUAUAAAAAGGCUGAGAGAAGAAACAAACAAACAAACAAACAAACAAGCAAACAAUGUUCUUGGCGCCAGCACGUUUCCAUCCACCAAAUGUGCACAUGUGGAGAUGUGGAUAUGGAGAUGUGGGUGUGGGUAAAACGGUUGGAGCCUGCUUAUUGGAGCUUGCUCCAUCCAUCUGAUAUGUCUGUCUGUCUGUCUGUCUGUCUGUCUGUCUGUCUGUCUGUGUGAAUGUCUGAACUUAUGUGUAUGUGUGAAGCUGUUUGAGUUUCCUGCUUUCUACACUCAGUGUGUGUGUGUGUGUGUGUGUGUGUGUGUGUGUGUGUGUGUGUGUGUGGUGUCUGUGUGUGUUUGUGUGUGAUUUCCCCCUCUCCCCUUUACUCUUUGCAUUUUGCAGGAUUCAGCAACCCUCUCUCGGUCAAAGGGAGUGCCUCCCCUUCCCCAAUAACUGAAACUUUAUUCCCUUAGAGAAAAGUGGCGAGUAGGCCCACACCACCCCCAACCCUGCCAAUUCCUCACUCAGCCUUUCUCAGUUAAGGCUGUGGGGUCCAUGCUGGCCUUGGCAGACUGUAAGGACAGAGUUGACUGGGCCCACCGAGGUGGGAGUUCUGGGGGUCUCCGGUGGAGUGGUGGAGUAUUGGAUGGGUUGAGAUUGGGGUCGAGGGGUGCGAGGGUGGGGCAUGGUGGGUUGGGAGAGUCUCUGCAAGCACCGGGGGUCGCCGAGUAAGGAUCCCAGCGAGGCAAUAGAGGAAUAUGCUUCAAUAGGACUCAGGCUCUCUUUUGCUAGUCUUGCUUUUUUAUUAUUAUUACUAGAUAUUCACUUCAUUUACAUUUCAAAUGCUAUCCCAAAAGUCCCCUAUACCCUGCCCCCGCCCUGCUCCCCAACCCACCCACUCCUGCUUCCUGGCCCAGGCAUUCCCCUGUACUGGGGCAUAUGAUCUUUGCAAGAAGAGGGCCUCUCCUCUCAUUGAUGGCUGACUAGGCCAUCCUCUGUUACAUAUGCAACACAGCUCUGGGGGGUGGGGGUGGUACUGGUUAGUUCAUAGUGUUGUUCCUCCUAUUAGUCUUGCUUUUUUGUAAACAGGCUUGGCCAUUCUACCAACUACCUGUAGCUGAUGUGACAAUGGUUCAAGGCAAGGCAGCCAAGCAAAUCCUACCGGCGUGCGCCACCACUACCGGCAGCGAACGGGCGCUGCUACGCCCUACUUGAACCGUACCAACGAUGACGACACAACACCCGACACGCCCCCAUACUCCUACCUGAACACUGCCCACACACCACCAGCGCAGCCUCACCUCACACCCACCGCACGCCCGCACACACAACCACAACACCAACAGCUACGCUCCCUAAUACGCCCGCCCAACACUCUUCACUCCCUCCCUUCCUCCCUCCCUCCCUCCCGCCUGCCUCACACCGGACUCCCGUGCCACGGCGACACCUGCCGGUCGCGCCGGGAACCGACACUCGCCGCCGACCCGGAACCCGGAACCCGGAACCCGAACCCCCACGUGCCGACGACUCUUGCCGCCUGAUCGCCCACCAGCGACCAGCGAUCAGCGACGAGCGACGAGCGACGAGCACCGGCUCCUAGCUGGUCCUCCUCCUCCUCCUCCUCCUCCUCCUCCUCCUCCUCCUCCUCCUCCUCCUCCUCCUCCUCCUCCUCCUCCUCCUCUUCCUCCUCCUCCUCCUGCUCCAGUCGUGUCGCCCUCCAGGCCCCCACCUUCCACACAACUCUCUCGGCAAACGCUCACAAGAAGCACCCGCACCACCCCGCACCGCAAGGCAGAAAGACGCCUUGCUCGGCCACCUUGGCCUUUCCUCGCUGGCGAGCGAGCGAGCAAGACCAAAACCGCAAACUCCGAACGCCUGCUGGCCCUUCGUCUACACCCGCGCUCCGCCCUCCCGGACCUCGAGGCCUCGCUGACAGUUCUCCACUCCUCAAGCGAGCCCGGAGGCUCAGCGGGAGCACCCCGUGCUCCAACCUGGUGCUCCUCCAACACCCACAGCUCUGCUUUUCUUUCUUCCCUUUCUGGAAGGCCUGGGCCUUGGGCCACGAGACCACCCUGACCACAGCCAAGUCUCCGGGGCCAGGAGCCAGGCCCUCCACUUGGACCCACACAGUUCCCCACACUCGGGACCCCACGCCCACGCGGACUGGGACUGCCCGUGUUAGCCUCGCAGGAAGAACUGCAGUGGGCAAGUGAGCCUCCUGGAAUCGCCCCAGCGGUCCACCGGCCCAGCCUUGUGCUCCGCUCUGCUGGGUGUACCCUGGAGAAGCGGGGGCCCCAGGACCUUUGGCCCAGCAUGGCUUCUUACUCCUGAGGGGUCUGCCUUCUCCUGCCUCUCUUUGCUAGAUCCCUCAUGGCCCUGGCGUGCUGGCAUUGGGCAAGGCAAGACACUCACUGCCUGCAACCUCCUGUGAUUGCCCUCCUGGGUGAUGCCCCCACCCCACCCCACCCCACCCCACCCCACCCCACCCCACCCCUGCUCUGAUGGGCCAGAGGCUUGCGGAUCGACCUGAGGAGGAAUCCUCUUGAGAUAAUGCUGUUGAGAUGAAUUCAUGAUCAGUUGUAAUUCCUGUUUGGUCUAAGUCCUUUCGGGAAAUGAGUUGGAUUUAAAUCAUGGGGGGCGGGGGUUUGGGGAGACUGAGGGUAGUCGACAGAAAGUCUACUUCGGGAUCAAGACUAGAAUGUUCCCCUUCCUCAUAGAACAGCAAGAGAGCUGCAUCGUUGAGAGAAGGAGCACAUGAGCUUCCGUGCCUUCCAAGCAUGUACUCGUAGGAGCAAGAAAAUUAGGCCUGGGACAAGUUCAUGCUCACAGAGAGCAUCCGUUCAACGUUGGGCCUGACUUCCUGGAUCUUGUGAUCUAAGCCUGUGGCCAUAAGUGCUCGGUGUGCACCUCGAAGAGACACACGGCUAGGAAUAAACAGCAAAUCGCUCUAUUACGAGUGUCAGAAUAGAGGGUAGGCGAUUGCCCAGAUUACCUGAACAACAAGACUUCAAAACGAAACAAAACAAAACGAAACGAAACGAAAGGUGCACAACAGAUGAUGAUCGGUCUCCCGCUAAAUACAAAGUGUCACCAGUCAAGCACAGAAAAAACACUUGCUAACCUAGGCUCCAUUGCCUUAAACUUUGUUCAUCAGUUAAGACAAGAGUUAAGUCCAUCUAGUGGAGAGAAAGAAGGAUGGGAAAAGUUUCUUAGGCGUGAAUGUCAAAACAAAAUUAUGUCAUCAAGGCUCCUGGUGUAGUUUCCUUUUGUGGGAUGAUUUUAAUCUGGUUUUGGAAGAAUAUGUUUCUGGGGUGAUGGCUUUUAGAGAAUAUGUGACCUGUGGCUACCAGGCUUGGCCAUUCUACCAACUACCUGUAGCUGAUGUGACAAUGGUUCAAGGCAAGGCAGCCAAGGUAAGGAUAAAAGACCUUUGCCUGGUAGUAGGCCUGCAAAUGAUAGUGUUAGCUUCCUUCCUUCCUUCCUUCCUUCCUUCCUUCCUUCCUUCCCUCCUUCCUUCCUUCCUUCGUUCCUUCCUGUAAGAACAAAAAAUAUGGUGGAGAAGAACUGGGGCAAGGGUCUGAAAAGAGUUUGCUAAAAGACAAAGGUGAGGAGGCGAGGUGUGUGUUGGAAUGGAA